rnacentral:rRNA from 2 species
GAUUUACAUUUGAGUGAGUGGCGAACUGGUGAGUAACACGUGGGAAACCUGCCCAGAAGCGGGGGAUAACACCUGGAAACAGAUGCUAAUACCGCAUAACAACUUGGACCGCAUGGUCCGAGUUUGAAAGAUGGCUUCGGCUAUCACUUUUGGAUGGUCCCGCGGCGUAUUAGCUAGAUGGUGGGGUAACGGCUCACCAUGGCAAUGAUACGUAGCCGACCUGAGAGGGUAAUCGGCCACAUUGGGACUGAGACACGGCCCAAACUCCUACGGGAGGCAGCAGUAGGGAAUCUUCCACAAUGGACGAAAGUCUGAUGGAGCAACGCCGCGUGAGUGAAGAAGGGUUUCGGCUCGUAAAACUCUGUUGUUAAAGAAGAACAUAUCUGAGAGUAACUGUUCAGGUAUUGACGGUAUUUAACCAGAAAGCCACGGCUAACUACGUGCCAGCAGCCGCGGUAAUACGUAGGUGGCAAGCGUUGUCCGGAUUUAUUGGGCGUAAAGCGAGCGCAGGCGGUUUUUUAAGUCUGAUGUGAAAGCCUUCGGCUCAACCGAAGAAGUGCAUCGGAAACUGGGAAACUUGAGUGCAGAAGAGGACAGUGGAACUCCAUGUGUAGCGGUGAAAUGCGUAGAUAUAUGGAAGAACACCAGUGGCGAAGGCGGCUGUCUGGUCUGUAACUGACGCUGAGGCUCGAAAGUAUGGGUAGCAAACAGGAUUAGAUACCCUGGUAGUCCAUACCGUAAACGAUGAAUGCUAAGUGUUGGAGGGUUUCCGCCCUUCAGUGCUGCAGCUAACGCAUUAAGCAUUCCGCCUGGGGAGUACGGCCGCAAGGCUGAAACUCAAAGGAAUUGACGGGGGCCCGCACAAGCGGUGGAGCAUGUGGUUUAAUUCGAAGCUACGCGAAGAACCUUACCAGGUCUUGACAUACUAUGCAAAUCUAAGAGAUUAGACGUUCCCUUCGGGGACAUGGAUACAGGUGGUGCAUGGUUGUCGUCAGCUCGUGUCGUGAGAUGUUGGGUUAAGUCCCGCAACGAGCGCAACCCUUAUUAUCAGUUGCCAGCAUUAAGUUGGGCACUCUGGUGAGACUGCCGGUGACAAACCGGAGGAAGGUGGGGAUGACGUCAAAUCAUCAUGCCCCUUAUGACCUGGGCUACACACGUGCUACAAUGGAUGGUACAACGAGUUGCGAACUCGCGAGAGUAAGCUAAUCUCUUAAAGCCAUUCUCAGUUCGGAUUGUAGGCUGCAACUCGCCUACAUGAAGUCGGAAUCGCUAGUAAUCGCGGAUCAGCAUGCCGCGGUGAAUACGUUCCCGGGCCUUGUACACACCGCCCGUCACACCAUGAGAGUUUGUAACACCCAAAG